rnacentral:rRNA from 1 species
AUUGAACGCUGGCGGCAUGCCUUACACAUGCAAGUCGAACGGUAACGGGCCUUCGGGUGCCGACGAGUGGCGAACGGGUGAGUAAUACAUCGGAACGUGCCCGAUCGUGGGGGAUAACGAGGCGAAAGCUUUGCUAAUACCGCAUACGAUCUACGGAUGACAGCAGGGGACCGCAAGGCCUUGCGCGGACGGAGCGGCCGAUGGCAGAUUAGGUAGUUGGUGGGAUAAAAGCUUACCAAGCCGACGAUCUGUAGCUGGUCUGAGAGGAUGAUCAGCCACACUAGGACUGAGACACGGCCCAGACUCCUACGGGAGGCAGCAGUGGGGAAUUUUGGACAAUGGGCGCAAGCCUGAUCCAGCCAUGCCGCGUGCAGGAUGAAGGCCUUCGGGUUGUAAACUGCUUUUGUACGGAACGAAAAGCCUUCUUUUAAUACAGGAGGGUCAUGACGGUACCGUAAGAAUAAGCACCGGCUAACUACGUG